rnacentral:rRNA from 1 species
AUUGAACGCUGGCGGCAUGCUUUACACAUGCAAGUCGAACGGUAACAGGCCGCAAGGUGCUGACGAGUGGCGAACGGGUGAGUAAUGCAUCGGAACGUGCCCAGUCGUGGGGGAUAACGCAGCGAAAGCUGCGCUAAUACCGCAUACGAUCUCUGGAUGAAAGCGGGGGACCGAAAGGCCUCGCGCGAUUGGAGCGGCCGAUGUCAGAUUAGGUAGUUGGUGGGGUAAAGGCUCACCAAGCCAACGAUCUGUAGCUGGUCUGAGAGGACGACCAGCCACACUGGGACUGAGAAACGGCCCAGACUCCUACGGGAGGCAGCAGUGGGGAAUUUUGGACAAUGGGCGCAAGCCUGAUCCAGCAAUGCCGCGUGCAGGAAGAAGGCCUUCGGGUUGUAAACUGCUUUUGUACGGAACGAAACGGUCCGGGCUAAUACCCUGGGCUAAUGACGGUACCGUAAGAAUAAGCACCGGCUAACUACGUGCCAGCAGCCGCGGUAAUAC